GAUGAACGCUGGCGGCGUGCCUAGUACAUGCAAGUCGAGCGAACUGAUUAGAAGCUUGCUUCUAUGACGUUAGCGGCGGACGGGUGAGUAACACGUGGGCAACCUGCCUGUAAGACUGGGAUAACUUCGGGAAACCGAAGCUAAUACCGGAUAGGAUCUUCUCCUUCAUGGGAGAUGAUUGAAAGAUGGUUUCGGCUAUCACUUACAGAUGGGCCCGCGGUGCAUUAGCUAGUUGGUGAGGUAACGGCUCACCAAGGCAACGAUGCAUAGCCGACAUGAGAGGGUGAUCGGCCACACUGGGACUGAGACACGGCCCAGACUCCUACGGGAGGCAGCAGUAGGGAAUCUUCCGCAAUGGACGAAAGUCUGACGGAGCAACGCCGCGUGAGUGAUGAAGGCUUUCGGGUCGUAAAACUCUGUUGUUAGGGAAGAACAAGUACGAGAGUAACUGCUCGUACCUUGACGGUACCUAACCAGAAAGCCACGGCUAACUACGUGCCAGCAGCCGCAGUAA
rnacentral:rRNA from 1 species